AGUUGGUGCUGCACUUUUAUCCCAUUUUUCCAAUAGCGAGCUCCUCUUAAGUGGCUUGGCUUGUAUUGACAUUUUGCUGAAGCUCCCACUGAACAUGUGCGCCAAGUUGUUAAAUGUUAGACAAACAGGCUUUCUGAUUUUUAGAAGGUGGAACAUUGGACUGCGAUGCGAGCUUUAAACUACUAUGAUGGUGUGAUGGGAACACAUGAUGAAGAAACUAGAAAGUUUUUCAAGCAUUCUUCAGUCAUUUGUGUUUUUUCACCUUGAUAUGCCCGCAGUAAGCUGAGUAUUUUCAAACAACAGGCAAGUUCUGGCAGUAGGUUUCCUAAGGCAAGUGCGAAUGGACCGAGACAACUUUGGUAUGAUUUGCACUGUAAGAAUGAUGGACCAGCUGCCUAUGAUGUCUUUUUUUAAGCAUCGCUAGAGAAAGGUAUCCAAGUUCCGCGAUCGAUUUAGGAAAGUAUCUCGUUGAAAAGAUGAUGCUCUAUUAAAGUUGGAGCAUAUCUCAUGGAUACUCAGCCCUUCGGCUAAUGUUCCAAAUGAUCAUGUUAGUUUGCGGGUUUCAAAAGAACAAGAUUCUGAAAAUUGACAUGUUCAGGUCUUAGCACUAUUCUUGUGCUAACAAUCUGAUACCGAUGGAAUUGGCCCUCAAAAUUGCAAGCAAGAUUAGAGCUGGCGAAUGAUUUACAGUUUAUGUAGUCAUACCAAUGUGUCCUGAGAGUCCCUAUCACAGCCUCUGUGCAAGAAAUUCUUUACUUUUAGGCUCAGACAAUGGAGAUGAUGUAUAGAGUAAUUGCACAAGAGCUCAAGGCCAUGAAUAUUGAGAAUGCAAAGCUUCAAGAUUACUUGAACUUCUACUGUCUUGGCAAUCGGGGAGAACCAUCAACAAAUGGUAGUCCUGACUCAGACAAAUCUUCAGAUAGAAGUGCAGCGGGCCUGGCUAGAAAAUAUCGGCGGUUCAUGAUCUAUGUUCAUGCAAAAGGGAUGAUCUAUGAAAUCUGCUGAACUUCCUUGAAUUUCUCUUUUUCCAGGUUGUCAGGAUCCUCCAGCUAGUCUGGACAACUACAAGCAGCACUCUACUGGAACCAGCGGCUAGGAUGGAAGAGGACCAGAGGAGAAGCAUCGGACGGCCAGAAGUGUGUAUGGACUGAGUCAAGACAUAGUUUUAAUCGCUAUCUGUAAUCUCUGUUUUAAUCGUUAAGUCACUAUUAAUUGUACUAAACAAUGCUUGGGCGCCUUUCCUUAUCGUGUGGUCGGAGGAGCCAUUCAGUCUAUCUCACCUCACCUGCAUGCAUUAUCCUCUCACCCAGUGCAGCUGCAUAAACCCUUGCCUGCAAGUUUGUACUUCAUGCAACUGAAGGCUGGAAUGUACAUCACCUCCUGACCUGGCUGCCAUGGCUUGUAAGAAUGCGUGUAACCAACACCUCAAGUCCUCAACUUGCGAGAGCCUAGCCAGCUCCCUG